UCAUAUUUAGUAUAAAAAAUAUAUUAGAUUUAGAUUCUAAAGAUAAAAAUAUGUA
rnacentral:tRNA from 1 species